rnacentral:rRNA from 1 species
GACGAACGCUGGCGGCGUGCUUAACACAUGCAAGUCGAGCGGAGCGGCGAACGGGUGAGUAACGCGUGAGUAACUGCCCCCCUCUCUGGGAUAACAGGUGGAAACGGCUGCUAAUACCGGAUAGUGGGGGAUGACGCGCGUCCUAUCAGCUUGUUGGUGGGGUAGUGGCCUACCAAGGCGACGACGGGUAGCCGGCCUGAGGGGGAGACCGGCCCCAGUGGCCUGAGAUACCGGCCAAACUCCUACGGGCGGCAGCAGUGGGGAAUAUUGCGCAAUGGGCGAAACCCGGAUGCACCAACGCCGCGUGCGGGAUGUCGGCCUUCGGGUUGUAAACCGCUUUCAGCCAUGACGCGGUAGUGGCAGAAGAAGCACCGGCUAACUACGUGCCAGCAGCCGCGGUAAUAC